CGUCAUCCUCCAUCGACGGUCUUUUCACAUUGUAAACAUUUGCACAGGGAUCAGAAACUGAGCAAAGAAACUCAUGGAGAAUCUUGUGAAGAUUCAUGGAGCUGGUGGCUAUGACUCCGACUUCAGUGAUGAUGAUGGAGAGGGAGACUCCUCGGAGAAUGCGAGAGAGAGGAAACGUGAGGCGGAAAUCUUACAGAAGCCAUUCGAAAAAGGUCAGCACUCCAAGGUGGCUCACCGUAGUUUACACUCCUGUGAAGUGGACAGAGAGGAAGCCAGAAACAGAAGAGCCCAUCUGAUUUCAAUGAAUGCUUUUGAGCGGCACAAGAAGUUUGUCGGUGACUACAUUUUGUAUUACGGUGGACAGAUGGCCGACUUCAGACGCUCUGUAGCUAAAGACAAGACCGAUCUGGACGUGCUGCGUGAAAAUCACCGCUUCCUCUGGAGGGAUGAGGAUGAGGAUGACAUGACAUGGGAAAAAGAAAUUGCCAAGAAGUAUUACGACAAGCUGUUUAAGGAGUACUGCAUUGCGGAUCUCAGCAGGUACAAGGAGAACAAGUUCGGAUUUCGCUGGCGAACAGAAAAUGAAGUUGUUUCUGGAAAAGGUCAGUUCCAGUGUGGGAAUAAACACUGUGGAAAAGAGGAAGGCCUGAAAAGCUGGGAGGUGAAUUUUGCCUACGUGGAACACGGGGAGAAGAGGAACGCUUUGGUCAAACUCAGACUGUGUCCUGAAUGCUCGUUCAAACUCAACUACCAUCACAAGAGAAAGGAGGUGAAAGUGAAGAGAAAAAGAAAGAUCUCAGAGGAGAAUGAAGAACCAACAAAGAAGAAGAAAAAGAGGAGGAGGAAAUCCUCCUCUCAUUCUAAAAAACACAGACACAAGAAGCAGAAAGACCGCUCUACCUCCUCCAGCAGUUCGGAGUCAGAGGCACAAAACUCUGAUAAAGACAGUGAAGCUGGGAAUGAACCAGACAGCCAAUCAGAAGCUGACCACUGGCGAGGCCCCGCCCCUGCUGUGGAGGAAAAAUCAAGGGAGGAAGAGUUUGAUGACUACUUUGAAGACAUGUUUCUUUGAAUCUGCUGGUAUCAGCGGCAACCCUGCUGUGACUACACUUCCUUUUGUAUCCCACUGAUAUUAACUUCUUCUUUUCAUCUUCAAUGGCCUUCAUCUUUGCAUUGUACACCUCAGCCAGCUCGUUCCAGUGUGCCCUGUUGUUGUUCAGAC